AGUUCUUCAUGAUCUGGAAGCUAUGGACCACUGAAACUCAUCUCUUGUCAUAUUUUCCACUUGGAACUUAACCCUAAUUAUAUUAAAGUAAUUUCAUCUCUCCAAAAUGUCAUACUUCUUCAAAUCACCUUCCUGAGCACAUGCUUUUUCCCAAGAGAUUAUCUGCCAGUGAAGAAGCACCAUGAAAUUUGAUGUCAUUAGUUAAGAAGACAUAAAAGAUAGUAACCAGUUGAAUAGAUCAAUUGGAACAUAUAAUUUAAGUGUACAACACAAUUCAACUCAGGAGAGUGCUUUUUUCUUUGUAUCUAAAGGAUAGUAUGUUUUUAUCAUCAAACCUGGCGUUGACUAUCCUGAAUUUAUGUUUGUAAAAAAUGUUGCUAUGUGUACCUCAUGCUAUUGAUAAUUUUUUCGACGAUUUGUUUAAAGUUAUUUAUUGUGUUCAA